GAGCCGGGCUCCGUCCUCGACCUCGACUGCUGGUAAACUUCGUCCGGACUCCUAAGGGAGCCGGACUUCGCCCCUGACUUUGAUUGCAGGUAAACUUCGUCCAGACUCCUACGGGAGUCGGACUUCGUCCCCGACUUCCACUGCAGGUAAACUUCGUCCAGACUCCUACGGGAGCCGGACUUCAUCUCCGACUUCCACUGUAGGUGAACUUCGUCCGGACUCCUACGGGAGCCGGACUUCGUCCCCGACUCCUACUGCAGGUGAACUUCGCCAGGACUCCUACGGGAGUCGGGCUCCGUCCUCGACCUCGACUGCUGGUAAACUUCGUUCGGACUCUUAAGGGAGCCGGAUUUCGCCCCUGACUUUGAUUGCAGGUAGACUUCGUCCAGACUCCUACGGGAGCCGGACUUCGUCCCCGACUUCCACUGCAGGUAAACUUCGUCCAGACUCCUACGGGAGCCGGACUUUGUCCCCGACUUCCACUGCAGGUGAACUUCGUCCGGACUCCUACGGGAGCCGGACUUCGUCCCCGACUCCUACUGUAGGU
rnacentral:lncRNA from 1 species